rnacentral:rRNA from 1 species
CAUGAAGCUGGAAUCGCUAGUAAUCGCAGAUCAGAAUGCUGCGGUGAAUACGUUCCCGGGUCUUGUACACACCGCCCGUCACACCAUGGGAGUUGGAAAUGCCCGAAGCCAGUGACCCAACCGUAAGGAGGGAGCUGUCGAAGGUGGAGCCGAUGACUGGGGUGAAGUCGUAACAAGGUAAC